GGCUCAGAUUGAACGCUGGCGGCAUGCCUUACACAUGCAAGUCGAACGGCAGCGGGCCUUCGGGUGCCGGCGAGUGGCGAACGGGUGAGUAAUGCAUCGGAACGUGCCAUUGAGUGGGGGAUAACGUAGCGAAAGUUGCGCUAAUACCGCAUAUUCUGUGAGCAGGAAAGCAGGGGACCGCAAGGCCUUGCGCUCUUUGAGCGGCCGAUGUCAGAUUAGCUAGUUGGUGAGGUAAAGGCUUACCAAGGCGACGAUCUGUAGCGGGUCUGAGAGGAUGAUCCGCCACACUGGAACUGAGACACGGUCCAGACUCCUACGGGAGGCAGCAGUGGGGAAUUUUGGACAAUGGGGGCAACCCUGAUCCAGCCAUGCCGCGUGAGUGAAGAAGGCCUUCGGGUUGUAAAGCUCUUUCGGCCGGGAAGAAAUCGCAUGGGUGAAUACCCUGUGUGGAUGACGGUACCUGCAGAAGAAGCACCGGCUAACUACGUG
rnacentral:rRNA from 1 species